rnacentral:rRNA from 1 species
AGGGUGGGGACCAUUCCACGGUUUCCGCGCCGCAGUAACGCUUAAUGCCCCGCUGGGGAGUACGGCCGCAAGGUAAAAUCAAAGGAAUUGACGGGGGCCCGCACAAGCGGCGGAGCAUGCGGAUAAUUCGAUGCAACGCGAAGAACCUUACCAAGGCUUGACAUGUUCUCGAUCGCCGUAGAGAUACGGUUUCCCCUUUGGGGCGGGUUCACAGGUGGUGCAUGGUGUCGUCAGCUCGUGUCGUGAGAUGUUGGGUUAAGUCCCGCAACGAGCGCAACCCUCGUUCCAUGUUGCCAGCACGUAAUGGUGGGGACUCAUGGGAGACUGCCGGGGUCAACUCGGAGGAAGGUGAGGACGACGUCAAAUCAUCAUGCCCCUUAUGUCUUGGGCUUCACGCAUGCUACAAUGGCCGGUACAAUGGGUUGCGAUACUGUGAGGUGGAGCUAAUCCCAAAAAGCCGGUCUCAGUUCGGAUUGGGGUCUGCAACUCGACCCCAUGAAGUGGGAGUCGCUAGUAAUCGCAGAUCAGCAACGCUGCGGUGAAUACGUUCCCGGGCCUUGUACACACCGCCCGUCAAGUCACGAAAGUUGGUAACACCCGAAGCCGGUGGCCUAACCCUUGUGGGGGGAGCCGUCGAAGGUGGGACCAGCGAUUG